CGGGUGAGUAACGCGUGAGGAACCUGCCUCAAAGAGGGGGACAGCAGUUGGAAACGACUGCUAAUACCGCAUAAGCCCACGGCUCGGCAUCGAGCAGAGGGAAAAGGAGCAAUCCGCUUUGAGAUGGCCUCGCGUCCGAUUAGCUAGUUGGUGAGGUAACGGCCCACCAAGGCGACGAUCAGUAGCCGACCUGAGAGGGUGACCGGCCACAUUGGGACUGAGACACGGCCCAA
rnacentral:rRNA from 1 species